GCAACUGGCGCGUGCUUAAACAUGCAAGUCGAACGGUAAAGGCCCUGCUUUNGUGGGGUGCUCGAGUGGCGAACGGGUGAGUAACACGUGAGUAACCUGCCCUUGACUUUGGGAUAACUUCAGGAAACUGGGGCUAAUACCGGAUAGGAGCUCCUGCUGCAUGGUGGGGGUUGGAAAGUUUCGGCGGUUGGGGAUGGACUCGCGGCUUAUCAGCUUGUUGGUGGGGUAGUGGCUUACCAAGGCUUUGACGGGUAGCCGGCCUGAGAGGGUGACCGGCCACAUUGGGACUGAGAUACGGCCCAGACUCCUACGGGAGGCAGCAGUGGGGAAUAUUGCACAAUGGGCGGAAGCCUGAUGCAGCAACGCCGCGUGCGGGAUGACGGCCUUCGGGUUGUAAACCGCUUUCGCCUGUGACGAAGCGUGAGUGACGGUAAUGGGUAAAGAAGCACCGGCUAACUACGUGCCA
rnacentral:rRNA from 1 species